rnacentral:rRNA from 1 species
GGCGCACGGGUGAGUAACACGUAGGUAACCUACCCCUUGGUGGUGGAUAACCCUCCGAAAGGAGAGCUAAUACAGCAUAAGACCACGAUUCCGCAAGGAGUUGAGGUUAAAGCGGGCCUCUGUAAACAAGCUCGCGCCAGGGGAUGGGCCUGCGGCCCAUCAGCUAGUUGGUAGGGUAACGGCCUACCAAGGCGAAGACGGGUAGCUGGUCUGAGAGGAUGGCCAGCCACACUGGAACUGAGACACGGUCCAGACUCCUACGGGAGGCAGCAGUGGGGAAUCUUGCGCAAUGGGCGAAAGCCUGACGCAGCGACGCCGCGUGAGUGAUGAAGGCCUUCGGGUUGUAAAGCUCUGUGGGAGGGGGACCGAAUAAGUGUCGUCGAACAGGCGGCAUGAUGACGGUACCCCUUUAGCAAGCACCGGCUAACUCUGUGCCAGCCGCCGCGG